rnacentral:rRNA from 1 species
CACGGAGUUAGCCGGUGCUUCUUCUGCGGGUAACGUCAAUGAGCAAAGGUAUUAACUUUACUCCCUUCCUCCCCGCUGAAAGCACUUUACAACCCGAAGGCCUUCUUCAUACACGCGGCAUGGCUGCAUCAGGCUUGCGCCCAUUGUGCAAUAUUCCCCA